rnacentral:lncRNA from 1 species
UUGGAUCCGUACUUCAUAAACUGUGUUUCCAUCAAACACAAAUUUAUUUAAUAGGCGCUCUGGGGAAAAAAAUCUAUUUUCAACUAAGGUUAGAAAUAAAUUCGGAUGAAAAUUAAAACGUUUCUUUCAAUUGCAGCCCUCCCUACUUUUACUGUGUUAACACUCAUCGAGAGGAGCACUUUAGUAUUCGGCGUUUCUCAGCCUGGUGUGGUCAUGAGGUAGGCGGGCUAACUGGGGGCCUUUGGGGACUUCACUUUCCAUACUGGUUAGAUAACCUUGGGCAAGUUACUUACACUCAGUUUCCCCGUCUGUAUAAAAGAGGGAUCCUGAAGAUUCUAUAAUGUCUCUAAAACAUUUUGUAAAAUUCUUUACAAUUAGUAAGCGCUCAAUAAAUGUUAGUAAGUCUUAGAGAUAACAGAUUAUGGUCGAUUUAUAUCUCACUUGAUUCUUCCAUUUUUCUCUGACAGUGGUAGAUAAAGAAUCAUUUCCAUUUUGUAGAAAACAAGAAGAAAACAGAGUUGAGCGUCCUGUGGAGAGGACAGCGUUGAGCAGCUGGGGAGCACUGAGCGCGGGCGGAGCGGCGCGGCAGAUGGUGUUUCUGGCCGGUGGUUCCUUCCCGCAGGCGAGCUUCUUCACAGCAGCCGCGUGUUUCCCUUGGGGCCCUCAGGGACUCUGUAGACAGAAUGGGAAGAGAUCAGGUACUAUCCUGCACUUUGGCAUCCAGGCUUAAAGAAAACCCCCCACAAAUAUCCUUGCCCUCUCCUCAUGCUAUUGAAAACAUUUUAGUGAAUAAAGAGUUAAUUUAUUAAAAACCUUUUGAGAAA